UGGGUGGCGAGUGGCGGACGGGUGAGUAAUGCAUCGUGACCUGCCCAGACGUGGGGGAUAACUUAUCGGAAACUUACGCUAAUACCGCAUACGUCCUACGGGAGAAAGCGGGGGAUCUUCGGACCUCGCGCGGUUGGAUGGACCGAUGUUCGAUAGCUAGUUGGUGAGGUAAUGGCUCACCAAGGCGACNAUCGAUAGCUGGUCUGAGAGGAUGAUCACCCACACUGGGACUGAGACACGGCCCAGACUCCUACGGGAGGCAGCAGUGGGGAAUAUUGGACAGUGGGCGAAAGCCUGAUCCAGCAAUGCCGCGUGUGUGAAGAAGGCCUUCGGGUUGUAAAGCACUUUUAUCAGGAGCGAAAUACAGCCGGCUAAUACCCGGCGGGGCUGACGGUACCUGAGGAAUAAGCACCGGCUAACUUCGUGCCAGCAGCCGCNGUAAUACNAAGGGUGCAAGCGUUAAUCGGAAUUACUGGGCGUAAAGCGUGCGUAGGCGGUGAUUUAAGUCUGCUGUGAAAUCCCCGGGCUCAACCUGNGAAUGGCAGUGGAUACUGGGUCNCUAGAUUGUGAUAGAGGAUGGUGGAAUUCCCGGUGUACCGGUGAAAUGCCUAGAGAUNGGGAGGAACAUCAGUGGCGAANGCGGCCAUCUGGAUCAACACUGACNCUGACGCACGAAAGCGUGGGGAGCAAACAGGAUUAUAUACCCUGGUAGUCCACGCCCUAAACGAUGCGAACUGGAUGUUGGUCUCAACUCGCGAGAUCAGUGUCGAAGCUAACGCGUUAAGUUCGCCGCCUGGGGAGUACGGUCACAAGACUGAAAACUCAAAGGAAUUGACGGGGGUCCCGCAC
rnacentral:rRNA from 1 species